rnacentral:rRNA from 1 species
CCUAGGGGGGGCAGCAGUGGGGAAUAUUGGGCAAUGGGCGCAAGCCUGACCCAGCAACGCCGCGUGAAGGAAGAAGGCUUUCGGGUUGUAAACUUCUUUUCUGAGGGACGAAGAAAGUGACGGUACCUCAGGAAUAAGCCACGGCUAACUACGUGCCAGCAGCCGCGGUAAUACGUAGGUGGCAAGCGUUAUCCGGAUUUAUUGGGUUUAAAGGGUGCGCAGGGGGGAGAUCAAGUCAGCGGUAAAAUGUCGGGGCGCAACCCCGGCCGGCCGUUGAAACUGGUUUUCUAGAGUUGGAGAGAAGUAUGCGGAAUUCGUGGUGUAGCGGUGAAAUGCAUAGAUAUCACGAAGAACUCCGAUUGCGAAGGCAGCAUACCGGCUCCAUACUGACGCUGAGGCACGAAAGCGUGGGGAUCGAACAGGAUUAGAUACCCUGGUAGUC